AUCUAUGGCCAUAACACCCUGCAUGCACCCAAUCUUGUCUGGUCUCGGAAACUAAGCAGGGUCGGGCCUAGUUAGUACUUGAAUGGGAGAAAAUAUCUGAUUAUACUGUCUAGGAAUAAAUAUAUUAUUGAUU
rnacentral:rRNA from 1 species